GUGGGGAAUAUUGGACAAUGGGGGGAACCCUGAUCCAGCCAUGCCGCGUGUGUGAAGAAUGCCUUUUGGUUGUAAAGCACUUUAAGCGAGGAGGAGGCUACCGAGAUUAAUACUCUUGGAUAGUGGACGUUACUCGCAGAAUAAGCACCGGCUAACUCUGUGCCAGCAGCCGCGGUAAUACAGAGGGUGCAAGCGUUAAUCGGAUUUACUGGGUGUAAAGCGAGCGUAGGUGGCAAAUUAUGUCAAAUGUGAAAUACCCGAGCGUAACUUGUGAAUUGCAUUCGAUACUGGUUGGCUAGAGUAUUGGAGAGGAUGGUAUAAUUCUAGGUGUAGCGGUGAGAUGCGUAGAGAUCUGGAGGAAUACCGAUGGGGAAAUGAGACAUCUGGCCUAAUACUGACACUGAGGUGCGAAAGCAUGGGGAGCAAACAGGAUUAGAUACCCGGGUAGUCC
rnacentral:rRNA from 1 species